CUACGGGUCGCUGCAGUGAGGAAUAUUGCACAAUGGGGGGAACCCUGAUGCAGCAACGCCGCGUGGAGGAUGACGCAUUUCGGUGUGUAAACUCCUUUUAUAUGUCAAGAAAAUGACGGUAGCAUAUGAAUAAGCACCGGCUAACUCCGUGCCAGCAGCGCGCGGUAAUACGGAGGGUGCAAGCGUUACUCGGAAUCACUGGGCGUAAAGGACGCGUAGGCGGGUUGGAAAGUCGGGUGUGAAGUCCUACAGCUUAACUGUAGAACUGCACUUGAAACUUCUAAUCUAGAGUAUGGGAGGGGGAGAUGGAAUUAGUGGUGUAGGGGUAAAAGCCGUAGAUAUCACUAGGAAUACCUAAAGCGAAGGCGAUCUCCUGGAACAUUACUGACGCUAAGGCGUGAAAGCGUGGGGAGCAAACAGGAUUAGAUACCCUUGUAGUC
rnacentral:rRNA from 1 species